CGGCGUGCUUAACACAUGCAAGUCGAGCGAUGAAGUUUCCUUCGGGAAACGGAUUAGCGGCGGACGGGUGAGUAACACGUGGGUAACCUGCCUCAUAGAGUGGAAUAGCCUUCCGAAAGGAAGAUUAAUACCGCAUAAUGUUGAAAGAUGGCAUCAUCAUUCAACCAAAGGAGCAAUCCGCUAUGAGAUGGACCCGCGGCGCAUUAGCUAGUUGGUGGGGUAACGGCCUACCAAGGCGACGAUGCGUAGCCGACCUGAGAGGGUGAUCGGCCACAUUGGGACUGAGACACGGCCCAGACUCCUACGGGAGGCAGCAGUGGGGAAUAUUGCACAAUGGGGGAAACCCUGAUGCAGCAACGCCGCGUGAGUGAUGAAGGUUUUCGGAUCGUAAAGCUCUGUCUUUGGGGAAGAUAAUGACGGUACCCAAGGAGGAAGCCACGGCUAACUACGUGCCAGCAGCCGCGGUAA
rnacentral:rRNA from 1 species